UACAGAGGUCCCGAGCGUUGUUCGGAUUCAUUGGGGUACGGUAAAGGGUGCGUGAGGUACGGCGGGGAAAGUCUGAUGAUUGAAAUCCUAGGGCUCAACCCUGGAACUGCAUUGGAUACUUCCGUUGCUAGAGUACUGGAUGAGGAAACUGGAAUUACGGUGUAGCAGUGAAAUGCGUAGAGAUCGUAAGGAAGACCAGUGGCGAAGGCGAGUUCUGGACAGUUACUGACGCUGAGGCACGAAGGCCAGGGGAGCAAACGG
rnacentral:rRNA from 1 species